AGCAGUAGCCACGGUAAUACGUAUGGUGCGAGCGUUAAUCGGAAUUACUGGGCGUAAAGCGAGCGCAGACGGUUAUUUAAGCAGGAUGUGAAAUCCCCGGGCUUAACCUGGGAACUGCGUUCUGAACUGGAUAGCUAGAGUGUGUCGGAGGGGGGUAGAAUUCCACGUGUAGCAGUGAAAUGCGUAGAGAUGUGGAGGAAUACCGAUGGCGAAGGCAGCCUCCUGGGAUAACACUGACGUUCAUGCCCGAAAGCGUGGGUAGCAAACAGGAUUAGAUACCCCCGUAGUCCCUGUCUCUUAUAC
rnacentral:rRNA from 1 species